rnacentral:rRNA from 1 species
ACGAACGCUGGCGGCGUGCUUAACACAUGCAAGUCGAGCGGGGACGGAGGCUUCGGCCAAAGUUCUAGCGGCGGACGGGUGAGUAACGCGUGAGCAACCUUUCCUCUACUGGGGAAUAACACCGGGAAACUGGUACUAAUACCGCAUGAGACCACAGUGCUGCAUGGCACAGGGGUCAAAGAUUUAUCGGUAGAGGGUGGGCUCGCGUCCGAUUAGGUAGUUGGUGAGGUAACGGCCCACCAAGCCGACGAUCGGUAGCCGACCUGAGAGGGUGAUCGGCCACAUUGGGACUGAGACACGGCCCAAACUCCUACGGGAGGCAGCAGUGGGGAAUAUUGGGCAAUGGGGGAAACCCUGACCCAGCAACGCCGCGUGGAGGAAGAAGGUUUUCGGAUCGUAAACUCCUGUCCUCAGGGAAGAGCAGAAGACGGUACCUGAGGAGGAAGCCCUGGCUAACUACGUG